AUGGCGGACGAGAGGAGCAGGAGGGGAGGCGCGGAGGCGGGGCCAUAUGCGUCGGACGAGCGCGUUCGCCCGCAGUCAACGCGGACACAGCGGCCGUCCAUGGCGGCUCGGGUCGAUGUAGGAGGACGAGGGGAGGAGCUCGUGAGGCCCGACACCGGUAAUGGAGCGGAGGCGGCUGGAUCUGGCGAUUCUGGAGGGGCUGGCGACGAGCGGCUCCAUGGGCGGCGACCUGCGGGGUUCAAGCGGCGGCUGAAGGUUUGUCAGAUAUACUUCCAUUUUAUGCAUGGGUUGAUCCCUCCCCUGGAUACUGUCAAGGUUUGCAUUUCAAUGGAAAAUUGCAUCAUUUUGCUUUAA
rnacentral:rRNA from 1 species